UGAGAGGAGCUUGCUUUUCUUAGCUUAGUGGCGAACGGGUGAGUAACGCGUGAGUAACCUGCCCUGGAGUGGGGGACAACAGUUGGAAACGACUGCUAAUACCGCAUAAGCCCACGAUCCGGCAUCGGAUUGAGGGAAAAGGAUUUAUUCGCUUCAGGAUGGACUCGCGUCCAAUUAGCUAGUUGGUGAGGUAACGGCCCACCAAGGCGACGAUUGGUAGCCGGACUGAGAGGUUGAACGGCCACAUUGGGACUGAGACACGGCCCAGACUCCUACGGGAGGCAGCAGUGGGGGAUAUUGCACAAUGGGGGAAACCCUGAUGCAGCGACGCCGCGUGGAGGAAGAAGGUUUUCGGAUUGUAAACUCCUGUCGUUAGGGACGAUAAUGACGGUACCUAACAAGAAAGCACCGGCUAACUACGUGCCAGCAGCCGCGGUAAAACGUAGGGUGCAAGCGUUGUCCGGAAUUACUGGGUGUAAAGGGAGCGCAGGCGGACCGGCAAGUUGGAAGUGAAAACUAUGGGCUCAACCCAUAAAUUGCUUUCAAAACUGCUGGCCUUGAGUAGUGCAGAGGUAGGUGGAAUUCCCGGUGUAGCGGUGGAAUGCGUAGAUAUCGGGAGGAACACCAGUGGCGAAGGCGACCUACUGGGCACCAACUGACGCUGAGGCUCGAAAGCAUGGGUAGCAAACAGGAUUAGAUACCCUGGUAGUCCAUGC
rnacentral:rRNA from 1 species